rnacentral:lncRNA from 1 species
ACUAUUUGAAUGUGUGUUGCUCCUUGUGGCAGGUAUACUGUUCCAAUGCCCUGGGAUCUCUGUAGUGGUCGGUACUGUAUUGAUUAUAAAUGGUGAAGUCCUAGUAUCUUGCUAGAGUGAGCUGGCCAGGAUGGUGGAGCUCUACCACCAUUUCACAGGUUAUAGACAGGGGCCACCAGGUUUCAGGAAAGCAGCAAUGACCCCUCAGUAAUAGUUGGAAAGUGUGAUAUGACACUGAGCUUCACUGUGUUGGUGAAGAAGAGCUGCAGUUUGCCUCCACCUCUGAAGAAGCACAAUACACCUUUCUGGGUUACCAAUGGGAUACUUCCCAACAGCUUUGUCAUCACAUACAAUAUUCUCAAACAAGAUCUUAAUGGCAUCUACUUUCUCCAGGAACACAGCCCCUGACCUGUGUGUGUUUGCGUAGAGAAGGCAUGCUAUGUACCCCCUAGGAUAUCAAGAUUCCUGUAGCAGAUUGAGCUCUGGCAGUUGAUCUCAGUGGCUUGAUAGAGUGUCAUUAUAAAAACGCACCUGGAAGAUUCUGUGGAAAAGACAACCUCAGAAGACCAAGAGGCUGACUUUGCAAGAGAGAGUCCGUUUACCACUUAGAACCGUGAACACCACCCCCGCCCUCAUUUAUCUCCAGACUUGAACUAGUGGUUAAAUCCCAACAUGUCCCAGAGAAGUCAAAAGCAUUGUAAAAUCUGGGAAUCUGCCCACCACUCAAGCCUGGGAAAGCUGGCAGAGGAUGCACGUGUUUUACUCACCUGAGUGUUUACAAUGCUCGUGAGGUGCCUCCCUGAUAUUUUUAUAGCAGAAUGGAGAAACACAACCAAGGAGAUACACCUAAGUAACAACAGCAAUGAUGUCAAAAAGAGUGCCUGAAUACUUAGGGUGGAGGUCCUGGACAUGCAAACCCAAGCUUCCUCUUUGCUGUGGCCAGGAAUCUGCAGUGAUUGAGAGCACAGACUGUAUCUAAAAUUCCACCUUUCAAAGUUCAGCAUAUUACUUUUUUUUUUCUUACACCUAUAAGUACAGAGGAAUGAAGAAGGAAUAAACAGACCUUCUGGAUAAUUGCAUCAGCCUUCCCCACUAUUCCAAUGCCAUGCUAACAUUUCAAGUAAUGUCCCUUUUGUCUUGCUGAGAAAAAAUCAUUUCAUGAUUUAUUACACUGGAUUAAAGGCUAUGCACACUCUGGAGUUGGAACAUGACUGAAGGGCAAGCAAGCAUAAAGGAUAUCAGAAACAGUUGAUGUGUUUAAAUUUUUCUGAAUUUCUCAAGUAAACUUUUUAGAAAGUAGUCUGAAGAUAAAAUGGUUAUAUAAGUUACUUAAACUGUAGAUGAUGGCACCUUUAUCCCUAUAUAAUAAAAUUAAGAUAACUCUUCUGGGCACUUUAUUUGGAAUUAAUUAUUUAAUCCUCAUAACAACGCCAUGAAGAUCAUACUAUUACCAUCCAAAGUUUACUGAGGAAGAUACUGAGGCAAGAUUUACAAUCCAAAGCAGAGUGGGAGGAAGAGACCUACAAGACCAUGUUUCAUUGGAUAGCUUUGGAGUAAUAUCUAUAAUUUUAGAAAAAAGUUAAGAGGAAGAAGAAACUGGUGUCAGCUACACUUAGAAGAUUUUACAACAGAGACUGGCUUCCAUUCACUGAUCAGACAUUCACUGAUUUUUAAUUCUUACCACCAGAGAAAAAGUUGUUAUGAUGAGGGUCCUCAGGAAAGACAAUACAGUCAGCCGAGAAAUACAAUUUUCUUUGUCUACUGUUGUUUCCUUUACACGGACCAUUGAAAUAUAUACUUAACCACCAGCAAA